UAACAAUCUCAAUACAUUGAGACUGGAAAUCGUUCAAGUAAUAAACCAAACAAUUUGCAUAGGUCUGUUGGACCGAACAAGCUUGUGAAAUCAAUGGUAUUCUUAAAUUAUUGGAAUUAUAAUAUAGUAUUUCUAUGACAGACUAAGAGAUGGCGCAAGCGUGUUAAAAUAUAACAAAAUAAGAAAGUAUCCUGUAUAAUGGAAAACAUUAUAUUUUACUGACUUCGCUACUCGGCUGCUUUAUAAUGACAAUAGUAUGGUACUAGAAAAAAAUAUUACCACAUUGGUAGUUUUGUUUUUACUCUAAUCUUAAAUAAUUAAAUGAUAAUUAUUCAAAAAUAGACUUAAGCUUCUAGUUUUUAAUAUUAUUUUAGUCAUAUUUAAAUAAUGUGCUACUGUUCUUGACAUUUUUAGGGCCGUUCAUCAAAAAGAACAUAAUAAAUAAUAAAGGUAUUAGACGUGAUAGUACAAAUUAUAAUUCAGUAUGGCAACAGUUUUAACAGCCGGAUCAGCCGGCCGGCGAAUUGACAACAAAUGGCGGUGGCGGUGUUUUUUCAUAUUAUUAUCAUUCAUACGUUGUCGUUGCUGACAAUUUGUGAAUUCUGUCCACAAUUAACUUGCUUUGUGCUGUGCUACCUGCCUGUGAUUCCGUUGAGUUGAGUUGUUUAUAAGGAGUCAUGGGUGCCAAAAUAAUAACCCAACACCCGAAAAUUUCAGUAGUGCAUUUACCACUCUUUUAAUAAAUAAUAUGUCCAGCAUCCAUGCCCCGGGCGCGAACUGCGAGAAUGAUUUUGGAAAAAAUCUACAUUCACUUAUAAUCACCGAAAAGGCCACUGAAAGUAAAGCCUGCGAAUUUGAGAAUAUACCGGAUAUUGAUAUUGUUGACUUGGAUCAAAAAACAGAUCCACGAAUAUUGGGGCCACUACAAUAUGUAACUGGGUAUUUUGUACGUAAUGCGAAAAAGAAAAUAUUUCAAUCCUGCAAGGUAUGUAAUAAAAAUGUGUGUGGCCUCAGAACCCUUGGAAUAUAUAAAAUAUAUAGAAUUUGCAGGUAAACAGUGGCUCUGCAGCCCAACAAAAGAAGUAUUACAAUGCUUUUCAGCAAUACAAGAUAUUCAAAUUGUAUUAAAAAAAGUGCUUCGUAUUUAUAAUCUUAAGCAAUUUUUAAAGACCUUAAUUUUAAUUAAUAUAGAUUUUGAUUUUUUAAAUUGUACAGAACACAAAGAAAAAUUAAUAGAUUAUAUAAUUGAUUCUUCUUGUAAUUUUUUUAUAUAUCAUUAUUGCAAAAAUAUAAAUAGAAUUUUAAACGGAACUAAGCAUGUAGAUGAUCCUGAAGAUUACUUUCAAGACAAGGCUAGAGUGCAAAAUAAAAAAAUGUUAAAAAAACGAUGAGUUGCAAGUUACAACUCAUCGUUUUUUAAACAUUUUUUUACAACUUGCAAUGGAUUUUACUGAGAAAUAGUAUAACAUUAUUACAAGCAAAAUUAUAAUUAUAACGUAACCCAGAAUAUUGUGUAUAUUUUAAAAUUUAAGAUUUUUCUCAUUAUCAUGAUUUAAUGAGUAUGUAUGUGCAAUGUGGUGAUGAUAUAAUUUUCCACAUAAAUCAGAAUAUGCCAAUCUUCUGUUUUAAUAGGUCAGACGAAACCCUUGUAGUGUAUGGUCUGGUCGGUUAUGAGUAUAAUAUUUAAAAAUCAAAAAUAAAAACAUAUUUUAAGCUGCAAUUGAAAAACCACUAAGAUUUUGAAGUCUGGUGUGAUGUUGUUAUGUUUCGUAAGCAUCCUGAUUUAUUAUUAUAUUGAGUAAACAGUUGAUAAGUAGAUAUUAUUAUUAUUGUCAACCUUAUGUUCAUUAUUUAUUAUACUAUCAGGACAACGUAUUGAACAUGAAUAAAUUGUUUUUAAUUGCUUA